CGGGACGCACCAGCAGUGAGGAAUAUUGCACAAUGGGGGGAACCCUGAUGCAGCAACGCCGCGUGGAGGAUGACGCAUUUCGGUGUGUAAACUCCUUUUAUAUGUCAAGAAAAUGACGGUAGCAUAUGAAUAAGCACCGGCUAACUCCGUGCCAGCAGCCGCGGUAAUACGGAGGGUGCAAGCGUUACUCGGAAUCACUGGGCGUAAAGGACGCGUAGGCGGGUUGGAAAGUCAGGUGUGAAAUCCUACAGCUUAACUGUAGAACUGCACUUGAAACUUCUAAUCUAGAGUAUGGGAGGGGGAGAUGGAAUUAGUGGUGUAGGGGUAAAAUCCGUAGAUAUCACUAGGAAUACCUAAAGCGAAGGCGAUCUCCUGGAACAUUACUGACGCUAAGGCGUGAAAGCGUGGGGAGCAAACAGGAUUAGAUACCCUCGUAGUC
rnacentral:rRNA from 1 species